GACGAACGCUGGCGGCGUGCUUAACACAUGCAAGUCGUACGGUAAGGCCCUUUCGGGGGUCCACGAGUGGCGAACGGGUGAGUAACACGUGAGUAACCUGCCCACAACUUUGGGAUAACGCUAGGAAACUGGUGCUAAUACUGGAUAUGUGCUCCUGCUGCAUGGUGGGGGUUGGAAAGCUCCGGCGGUUGUGGAUGGACUCGCGGCCUAUCAGCUUGUUGGUGGGGUAGUGGCCUACCAAGGCGGCGACGGGUAGCCGGCCUGAGAGGGUGACCGGCCACAUUGGGACUGAGAUACGGCCCAGACUCCUACGGGAGGCAGCAGGGGGGAAUAUUGCACAAUGGGCGCAAGCCUGAUGCAGCAACGCCGCGUGCGGGAGGACGGCCUUCGGGUUGUAAACCGCUUUCAGCAGGGACGAAGCUUUUUGUGACGGUACCUGCAGAAGAAGCACCGGCUAACUACGUG
rnacentral:rRNA from 1 species